ACCCCAGCAAAAGCCAUCUUCUGCCUGUCCGCUAGCGCACUGUACGUCUCCAGCAGCUCAGCUCUCCAGCUGCAAACAUCUCAUUAGACUAAUGCAUUCAGCACAGGCAGAAAACUCGAUUUACCAUAGCUACAGCAAUGAAUUUCCAUUACGAUGACAGCUUCAACCACAUCAUGUCCGGAAAACCAGCCAACCACUGCCUUUUAAAGAACACACACAUUUUACACGCAGAAAGCGAAGGCCUGCGUGCCGUGUUUCCUUUCUCUUCGCAGCUAAACUCCGAAAAAUUUACCAUUUGCUUUUAUUUCACAACUCCACGAGCUGAAAGAUUUUAAUUAGAAACGGCGCUGGAUAGCCAUCUUCAGUCAGGAGCCGCAUGUCAUUUGCAUACAAACUCAGCCGAGAAACUUUCCUACCCACCAUCUGUCUGUGCAGCUGAGGAGCUGCUGCCCUCCCCGUUGGCAAAGUUUGGUGCAGUUUACAGCCCGUUCACUAGCAGUCGUGACCCGAGACCCCGAACGCGGCGGCUCUUCCAUUCACAGACUUAGGGAGAAGAAAAGGGAUCGAUCACUGGGUGGCGAGCGGUGCCAGGAUUGGGGAAGUUUGGGAAAACCGUGCAUCAUGUAUUUGGAGCGGCGACUGUCGGAGCCUGGGAGCAGCCUGGCGUGCGCAGCAGGUGCCUCCCUGCCAGGUUUGCAGCUCUUGGCUUGAGGUCUCCACAGCGCAACGCUGCUUCUCCAUCCAUGUCCGUCAGGGGACGUCCCGAGGGCUCCUCCACGUUCGACCUUGCCCAAAGUGUUGAAGUCUUGGUCCAGCUGACAGGAUGGGUGACUUUUAGUUUUGUUGCUCAGUUACCCUUACUGUCCCAUAGAUGCUAGCGUAAUGCAAGUGUACCUCAAGAUUUUCCAGCAUUUCCUCAUUUUCUGCUAAUAAGCCUCCCAUUAUACAAAGAUUAAAUUCUACUUUGAAAAAUGUUCAUUUUAAUGUUUUCUUUAAGGAGACUUCCUUUGUAGAAUCAGACACUUCAUAAUGAAAUCCUGGCUGUCCGGUACGGAAACACUGUUGAACAUCCAAGGGCAGGACAUAUUAAAAUUGACAUCCAGUUCAGCUGACAUAAGAAUCAUUGAAAUAAAACCCAUCACCGUGGUCA
rnacentral:lncRNA from 1 species